AGCUUUAUAUUCAACAAUGAUAUUAAAUUGCAAAUUUAAAGGUAAAUAAUUUUUAAGGCUU
rnacentral:tRNA from 1 species